GAAAUGCGAUAAGUAAUGUGAAUUGCAGAAUUCCGUGAAUCAUCGAAUCUUUGAACGCACAUUGCGCCCUCUGGUAUUCCGGGGGGCAUGCCUGUUCGAGCGUCAUU
rnacentral:rRNA from 1 species